GAUCGGGGGAGACAGACAACUAUGUAGGAGAGCGGACCCUCCAGUGUCCACAUUAAUUUCCCAAUACUCUCUCUAAGCCAUACAGGAUCAAACAUUUACUACCCCAGAGUUGGGCUGGAAGAAAAAGAGUGGAGAUGAACUAAGGAAAGAGUGACCUCAAGUUCCCCAGACUCCAGCCCCUCACCACCAAAAAUAAAUCGAGGAAGUCCUUCUCGUGAGAGAUGAGUAGAGAAAACCUAGAAGGUCCCCAAGAAUCUGCAGGAAACUUUUGCAAACCACAGCUCAAGGCCACACCUGUGAGGAGCAGCAGAGCCCGCUGGGUCUCCUGACCAACCAGCACAAUCUGUUUGAAGCUCAUGGAGUGGUGGAAGGUCAUCUUGAAGACCCGCUGCCCACUGGACUGCAGAUAGACCUCGACACAGUCGCAGGCCCGGCUGCCGGUCGUGCCUGCCACUCCCAGCUGCUCCCGAGUGGCCAAUACAUAGAGCUCAGGGCCAAAAACAUGCUUCUAAGGGAGCCCUUCUUUGGUCCAACCUUGCAUCAGAGACAUCAAGGGAAAUACAAGAAUACACAGAAAAGCAGAAGAGGAAUGAAAGGAAUGCCUGAGAAAGGCCAGCAGCCCUCCCUCCCCUCCACGAGCUGGAUCUGCUAUCUGGAUCUCCCUAAUCUCUGGUAGGAGCAGAAGAUCUACACCAAUAAAUCCCAGGAUGGCUGACUCUUCCACGGGCUCAAAGGAAUCCAGCCCUGGGCAACCAGCCCUGAGCUGUGCAGUGUCACAGGAUUGUUCUUUUACUGUGCUGACAGGCUGU